rnacentral:rRNA from 1 species
CGGUUGGACACCAAGCCUCUGUAAAGCUCCUUCGACGAGUCGAGUAGUUUGGGAAUGCUGCUCUAAAUGGGAGGUAAAUUUCUUCUAAAGCUAAAUACCGGCCAGAGACCGAUAGCGCACAAGUAGAGUGAUCGAAAGAUGAAAAGUACUUUGAAAAGAGGGUUAAAUAGCACGUGAAAUUGUUGAAAGGGAAGCGUUUAUGACCAGACCUUCGCCGGGCGGAUCAUCCGGUGUUCUUCACCGGUGCACUUCGCCCGGCUUAGGCCAGCAUCGGUUUUCGCAGGGGGAUAAAGGCCCCGGGAACGUAGCUCCCUCCGGGGAGUGUUAUAGCCCGGGACGUAAUACCCUUGCGGGGACCGAGGUUCGCGGAUGCUG